ensembl:lncRNA
UCAGCAACUCUUAGGGCCUGUUUUUAGCUGGUUUUUCUGGAUGGAGUCUCAGCAAAAUUUGGAUGCUUACUGGUAUAGGUGCCUCCAUGGAAACUGAGCCCUUCUGCAUGCCUGAUAAUCAUUGUUUUGUGUGACCUGAUCUUUCUACGUCCACAUAACCUUCCUGGAGACCUCCUUGUUGCAGAGAGAAAUGAGCUGAAGGGAAAAAAGAAUCAGGAUAAAACAUACUACAGUAACCCUUACUAAUGAAUGAAAGCAUCCUCAUGCAUUCUUCAAAUCGGUUUCAUUAGUUUUAUGCUGUUUUCCUAAGCUGAGCUGGAGUAGUGAAGAAGCCUGGAAAACACAGUAGUGCUGGAGGGGACUGUCACCAUGCAGUGAUGGAGAUGUGAGGCCAGGCAUCUGAGCCCAUUGUGAGAAAGGAUUCCUUUUCAAUGUGUGUGCCAGAGAGAUCUGAACAGCAGCUACUUCAUCUCAGUCAUGAAAUACUGUAAUUUUUGUGAUGUACAGGUUGUACAGCUAAGGCCAUAAAACUUGGUGAAGAGAGAACCUCUUGAGAAGCCAUUUCUGCUCAUGAGCAUAUCCUCUCAUGCCUUAUAUGUCACUAUUUGUCUUUUAUAUUUUGAAAUAUAUUUUUCGGCAUGAUGGUUGUAGU